CAAACGGCCCUUUUUAGGGCCAACAAACGUUCUUCAAAGGGUUUUUU
rfam:Aedes aegypti strain Liverpool supercont1.345 genomic scaffold, whole genome shotgun sequence.